UACGGGGGGGGUAAGCGUUGUUCGGAAUUACUGGGCGUAAAGGGCUCGUAGGCGGCCAACUAAGUCAGACGUGAAAUCCCUCAGCUUAACUGGGGAACUGCGUCUGAUACUGGAUGGCUUGGAUUCGGGAGAGGAAUGCGGAAUUCCAGGUGUAGCGGUGAAAUGCGUAGAUAUCUGGAGGAACACCGGUGGCGAAGGCGGCUUUCUGGUCUGUAACUGACGCUGAGGCGCGAAAGCGUGGGGAGCAAACAGG
rnacentral:rRNA from 1 species